UACAGAUGUCAUCAUUGCUUUGUAUCUGUUAACUCUACAGAUGUCAAUGUAGUCUUACAUCUGUUAAUACUACAGAUGCCAUCAUUGCCCUGCAUCUGUUGGCUAACAUUACAGAUGUCAUCAUAGAUUCACAUUUGUCAUUACUACAGAUGUCAUCAUAGCCUUGAAUUUGUUAACAUUACAGAUGUUACUGUAGUCUUACAUCUCCUUGCUUACUUUAUCAUA